AAUUACCAUAAAUAUAUCCAGGGUGCCCUGAUACACUUGGCAUAACUGAAAAGGAACCUGCAUUUCAGUCGGAAGUCAAUGCUCCCUUUAUUUCUUUAAAUUUCAUUUCAGAUGCGUUCCUCAGCUGACCCUUCACAAGGCCCCGCCUUUACCAUUUCUGAGGAUCUGACCCUGGAACCGCAGGACCUGGUCCCGCCCCCUGGUCUGCACCGCCCCUGCUCUCUUCCCCCUCCCUCCCACUCUCCCUCCUUUCUCUCACCAGUAUCUGCUGGCACCACCUGGAAGCAGCAGCUCAGACCCUCUCCUGACCUCUGCCACUCACCCAGGUGGUCUCCUCCCAGCAGGUGCAGCCACUAUGUCACCCUGGGCUUCUGUCCACCUGCCAGGACUUGGAGCCAAGCUGGGUCUCCUUGCAAUCCUGUGCGCCCUCCUGUUUCCCGAUGCUGGAAUGAAAUCCUCUGAAGCGUAUUACACACAGUGAUGCACACAGCUGUGAUUGCAUUCAGCAAAUGUGGUCUGGCACCUUUACUGCCUGAAAACAUGAUCUGCAUCCUUCCGUGUAAGGUUGCUAGAAAUUGGCUUCACGUGAUCUUCACCAGGAGACUGAGAAGAUAGACUUUCACUUAAGACUUUGUGUAUCCCUGUCUUUGCGGGCACUGAUGUCCCUCCUGGUCAAAGGACAGGAGUGGGUGCUGAGGGGCAUAAAGGGUGGACUUCGUUGAAUGCCUUCUGUAUUCCCCUUAGAAUUGAUUUUCCUCAUUUCUUUACCCUGCUCUGUGCUCUAGGAGGCUAACGCCCACGGACUGCACUAAUGGACAUCUUUGUUGUGACUUCCACUGAAUGUCGGCCAGUGAGAGUUGAAGUUCAAAGGAACCAUGACCUCAUCAUUUGACAACAAUUUCCAUUCCUUGGGCACUAGACUUCCAAACCUGUGGAUCCAGGGCCCUGGGAGAAAAGAAACAGAUUCUUCUAGUGGGUUAAUUGGUAUAAAAAGGAAUGGCCACUCCCACCUACACCUCUUGGGUCCCGAGCACAAAUUCUGUCUCUGGGGUAGAAGGCCCUAUAUGUUGGCCCCAGGGGAGGAUGCAGCCAACCCAAGGCCACCUGUCAGGAGGGAACCCUGAGCUCACUCUGCUCCCAACUCCCAGCCUCCUCCUGAUGCUUCCACUGACUGCUUCCAAAUAGCAACCAGAGAAUAAGGAAACCCAUCCAUGCGGUCCAUGAGGGUCCACCUCGUAAUGCCCAGAAUGAGGUAAAGAAAGAUGGACAGUCCAUCUGGAGGAGCAAAAGGAAGAAAUCAAGCAGAUGGUCACUUAAGUGGGUUAUGUUUUCCACCAAAUAAGUAAAAUAAGCUGAGGAAUAGGAGGCCACUUUGAAUUUGCUUAAUGUUUGUUAACUUUACAAGAAUAUACAUCGG
rnacentral:lncRNA from 1 species